rnacentral:rRNA from 1 species
AACGAACGCUGGCGGCGUGCCUAACACAUGCAAGUCGAACGAAGUCUUCGGACUUAGUGGCGCACGGGUGCGUAACGCGUGGGAAUCUGCCCUUGGGUGCGGAAUAACUUCUCGAAAGGGAUGCUAAUACCGCAUAAUGUCGUAAGACCAAAGAUUUAUCGCCCAAGGAUGAGCCCGCGUAAGAUUAGCUAGUUGGUGGGGUAAAAGCCUACCAAGGCGACGAUCUUUAGCUGGUCUGAGAGGAUGAUCAGCCACACUGGGACUGAGACACGGCCCAGACUCCUACGGGAGGCAGCAGUGGGGGAUAUUGGACAAUGGGCGAAAGCCUGAUCCAGCAAUGCCGCGUGAGUGAUGAAGGCCCUAGGGUUGUAAAGCUCUUUUACCAGGGAUGAUAAUAGACAGUACCUGGAGAAUAAAGCUCCGGCUAACUCCGUCGCCAGCAGCCGC